CACCGCCCGUCACACCAUGAAAGUUAGAAACGCCCAAAGCCGAUGUGCUAACUCGCAAGAGAGGCAGUCGACUAAGGCGGGGCUAGCGAUUGGGGUG
rnacentral:rRNA from 1 species